rnacentral:rRNA from 1 species
GAACCGGACGAACGUUGUUCGGAAUUAUUGGGCUUAAAGGGGUGCGUAGGCGGCUUGGGGUAAGUUGGAUGUGAAAGCCCUCGGGCUCAACCGAGGAAUCGCGUCCAAAACUGCCAGGCCCGAAGGGAGACAGAGGCGAGCGGAACUUAGGGUGGAGCGGUGAAAUGCGUUGAUAUCCUAAGGAACACCAGUGGCGAAGGCGGCUCGCUGGGUCUCUUCUGACGCUGAGGCACGAAAGCUAGGGGAGCGAACGGGAUUAGAUACCCCGGUAGUCCUAGCUGUAAACGAUGAGCACUUGGUUGGAGGAUUUUCACUGAUCUUCCGGCCGGAGCGAAAGUGUUAAGUGCUCCGCCUGGGGAGUAUGGUCGCAAAGGCUG